CGCGCGCCCAGCCUGAGCGGUGUAACGUACUCUGGACUGGAGGACACAGCAACGCCCACUUCUGUAUCUGUAAUUAGAAAAGUGGUAUUAUUGUGUUUUCUGUUUACAGAAGUAGCCGUGUCGGUCUUCUGAUCGACCCCCCGCGAAUUCAUACUCGGGGAAAGCUUCCAGAGCAUAACGUCAGCCGCAGGCCGAAGGAGAAAGCCCAAAGUCUCUUCCGAGAUGGUGGAUGGCCCCCCCUCCCCCGGACUCAGUGGCCAUGUUGUCCCUGGUGCCGCAGUCCAGGCCUGGCGACUUCCCUCCCGCUCUGCCGAGCGAAGGAGUCAGCAGGACUCGGGGAGAGCGUCGUCGAGGCACACGGGGUGGAUUCGAAGCGCCCGGUUUCUAGGCGCGCUUCCUCGGAAGUUUAGAUGGGCCUGUGUGUCCUGUCGUCUCGCAUCGGCGUCCAUGGCGUCGCCUCCGUCGCCAGAGGCUGACGGCCAGCAGAGAAAUCAAACCACGGAGUUUCCAAGGAAACCCAUUUAAAACUCUUCAUAGCCGAAGUUUUGUAAAUAACCCGUUUCUAAAUAAGUAGAUAAUGAGAGUGUGAAUUCCAUAAAGUGCGCAUGUGGAGACUAAACACGUGUAGAUCGAGGGAAGACCGUUAUCCAUAUGACAUCCUAUGCUUGUGGUCUCGGAAGGCUGCAGCCCUACAUCCUUGGGAGUAGAGCUCACAGAACACAGUGACAAAUACUUCUGUGUGAAAUAUGUAUGGCUGCAAUUCCAACAUGUAAGGUAGCAUGCAAGUACCUAAGCAUGCUUAGGGAAUAACAGCACAAUCCUACUUAGUUUACUUUAUAACUAUUCCCACUGUGUUUAAUAGGGCUUCCUCCCAGGUUAAAGGUAUUUAGGAUUUAAAUCCCAUUGAAUUAUCCUCUACUAAUUGGGCAAAGAAGCACCUUUCAAAGUGGUGCUUGUUUGUAUUCAGCAUGGGGAGAUCAGCUCUUCCUCUCUGUCCCAGCAUAGCAUUCCUCCCAGUCACUAUUGCUUGUGUUUCUCUUGUAUAUAUGUAGUGAUCAGACUCCCCGCUAAAGAGUUAAGAGGGAGUGAACCCUUGUCUUGACGGACACGCUGCUGAAUUCCAGGGCAGCCAAUCAGUACACCAGCAUUAUGGACUGCUCAAGGGCUAUCCUACCUAGGGAUGAAAGCCAUCCUACCUAAGAUGUUGCAAAAGACUCUCUAAACAUUUAAGCGUGCAUAAUGACAACCUGUUUUUAACUGUAUGUAAAAGAUGAGAAAGCCACAGAUGGGAGCAGUCUGUAGUAAUUGAAUAAAACUGGGGGGUGGUGUUCUUUUCUUUUCUUUUUUUACAAACCUCUCUGAGUUAGUUUUUAACUUGGGAAAAGGAGGGGGUAAGGGGGCUGUUCUCUGGUGCAAACACAUCCUCAAAUGUUCAGAAGCUAUCAGUUUUCUCAUCACAUGUAGGCUUGGACAUGGAAGGGUUUUUUUUACUUAAACAAUAGCAAAAUAGUUUUCCCUGGGAUUCCACCCCAAGCCCAGGAAGCUUCAAUCACUGCUGAUAAAGGGGGAGGGGAGCAUUUUGAACAUACAGAUUACAGGAUAAUUUUAGAAGAAGCCUAGCCAGGCAGCUCAAGCAGGGAUGAUUCAGCAUUUCUUUCCCUCACAUGAGCUUGCUCUGAGACAAAGGCUUUAAUCCACUACAAUAUACAUAUAUUUUAGAUUCUGAAUUCCUUUUAGACAGGGGCCUGUGUCUUUCCUUUUGUUAUGCAAACCACUUUGAGAACUUUAUUUUCUUGAAAACUUGUAUAUUAAUAAAAUCUCAUUACAGUACUGGAAAUAGUUUGUCUCAAUAUUUAAACUGGAUUACUUAAAUCCAAGUACACUAGUGUAAUUUGAUUGUUUUUAUGCCUUUUUAAAAGUGAUGUUAUAAUAAAAUAAUUUAUACAAUG